AGUAAACAACAUUUACAUUUCAAUAAAAUAAUAUACAAUGCACUAAGGAUCACAGUUAUAUUCAUACAAGUCGCAAGCUAAUUUAUGCCUCCACAUAUCAAUCCAAGACUGAUUUAUUGUCUCAACAUUGUGGCAAAUGUCCAAAAACUCUAUGUACUUUAUUGCAAAUAAGCAACAGUCGCCCCUGCAACCGAAGAAGAAUAUAUUAGUUCGAUAACAUAUAACUGAAAAUUAAAAGGUAGAAUUAAAAAGUUUUAAAUCCUUACGAUCUUUCUUGUUUUGCCGUCGUCAUGUUCCGCACAAUGGCUAAUCUGUCAUUUACUCGAAUCAUCGCCUGAUUAGCCAUCAUGGGCACGAUCAC
rnacentral:lncRNA from 1 species